rnacentral:snRNA from 1 species
GUGCUCACUCUGACAGCACAUGUACUAAAACUGGAGCAAUACAGAGAAGAUUAGCAUGUCCCCUAUGCAAGGAUGACAAGCAAAUUCAUGAAGCAUUCCAUAUUUUU